AGUAAAAUGGCCGCGUUGGUCUCCCCCUCCACCCACACUGCCACUGCAUCUGCCACGGUCCAUUACCAAACAAGGUUACAAAUACGGCCUGAGUCAUAGAGAAAAGAUUAAAUUACACGCAGGAAAUCCUGCUCACCAAAGCGCUGGAGUAAUGAGAUUCAGAAAGUCGACUGUCAAAAGGAGCACGAAGCAAGCGUGGGUGCCCACAGGGAGCCUGCUGCACCUCCCUCACCAUCCGGCCACCCCACCCCAGCUCCUGCUCCACCUGCAGAGGCAAUAAGAGCUCCAGACAGGAGUUUUUUAAGAGGCACUGGGACAAAAGGUCUGUUAUGGUUCUUCAAGCAGGAAGGUCCCUGACCCUGAGUUACUCAAGGCAUGAGGUCAGCCAGUCUGAUGCAACCGUUUCUGGUCGGAGGACGAGCCCCUGCCUGGCACAGCUCACCGGUGCAGCGGCAGGCUCUGAACUGUC